rnacentral:sRNA from 1 species
AUAUCAGAAGUCCACAAAGUGAGAUUGUCGCGAAGAAGCUGCAUGAUCAGGGUGCUGUCCUUGUAGGAUUCUUCCCCAAGGGUAUCCAGUUCCGAAAUAGCUUCAUCGAAGGCCUACAUAAACCAGAAACGUGCACGCGCGGUCGGGCGAGUUGAGGAUCUCGUAGUAGAACACGGAGAAGUUGAGCGCAAGGCCCAGUCUGAUGGGGUGCGUCGGCGACAGCUCCUUCAUGGCUAUGGGUACCUGCGCGGCCUGGUAGGCGGCGAGGGUGGCGUCGGCGGCGUCCUUGCGCUCGGCUCCGGUCUUGAACUCGGCGAGGUAGCGGUGGUAGUCGCCCUUCAUCUUGAGGUAGAAGACCUUGGCGUCGACGGCGGCGGCGGCGGGGACGAGGCGCUCGUCGAGGAGGCGGAGUAUCCCCGCGCAGAUGUUGGAGAGCUCGGCCUCGACGCGGGCGCGGUAGGAGCGCGCGGCGGCGGCGUGGCCCGCGGCGCCGCGGCCUUCCUCCUUCUGCUCGAUGGAGGACACGAUGCGCCACGACGCCCUGCGCGCGCCGAUGACGUUCUUGUACGCCACGGACAGCAGGUUCCUCUCCUCCACCGUGAGCUCCCCACCCCCGCCCGCCGCCGCCGCCGUCACCACCUUCUCCAUGAACUCCACCAUCUCCUCGUACCUCUCCGCCUGCUCCGCCAGCUUCGCCAUGUACACCAUCUCCUC